rnacentral:lncRNA from 1 species
UUAGAAGUACAGGAAAUUACAGUUUGGUCAGAAAACGAUAACACAAAUAAAAAUUAUAGGAUAAAAGUGCAUUUCGUAAUGUCCCAACUUCAGUUUGUAUACUAAAGAAAUGUAUCCUGCUCAACUGACUUUCAAUAAACCCAAAAUUAACAAUGAGCACUGCCCUUUCCUAUAUUUACAAAACUAAAAAUCAUAAAUUCAUAGUUAAUAUUUACAUCUUCAUGCGCAUGCAUGAAAAUAUUUGAAAAAUGAUUAUGCAUGUUUCUAAAAAACGAGAUUUGCGUAUUGAUAACUUUGUCCAUUUAUCUCUCCUUCAUUUACUAUUUUUCUACCUAUAAUGGACAGAGGAACAUCAUGCGAU